GACGAACGCUGGCGGCGUGCUUAACACAUGCAAGUCGAGCGGUAAGGCCUCUUCGGGGGUACACGAGCGGCGAACGGGUGAGUAACACGUGGGUGACCUUCCCUCAGCUCUGGGAUAAGCCUGGGAAACUGGGUCUACUACCGGAUAUGACCUUUCCUCGCAUGGGGUUUGGUGGAAAGUUUUUUCGGCUGGGGAUGGGCCCGCGGCCCAUCAGCUUGUUGGUGGGGUGAUGGCCUACCAAGGCGACGACGGGUAGCCGGCCUGAGGGGGCGACCGGCCACACUGGGACGGAGACACGGCUCAGACACCUACGGGAGGCAGCAGUGGGGAAUAUUGCGCAAUGGGCGGAAGCCUGGCGCAGCGACGCCGCGUGGGGGAUGACGGCCUUCGGGUUGUAAACCUCAUUCGACCCCGACGAAUUUGGACGGUAGGGGUAGAAGAAGCACCGGCCAACUACGUG
rnacentral:rRNA from 1 species